UACAGAGGGGGCAAGCGUUGUUCGGAAUUACUGGGCGUAAAGGGCGCGUAGGCGGCCUUCUAAGUCGAACGUGAAAUCCCCGGGCUCAACCCGGGAACUGCGUCCGAUACUGGAAGGCUUGAAUCCGGGAGAGGGAUGCGGAAUUCCAGGUGUAGCGGUGAAAUGCGUAGAUAUCUGGAGGAACACCGGGUGGCGAAGGCGGCAUCUGGACCGGCAUUGACGCUGAGGCGCGAAAGCCAGGGAGCAAAGCGGG
rnacentral:rRNA from 1 species